AUACAGUAAGGGCCCUCCUGUCUACUAUGCAUUUGCAUGUAUGCUGAUUAUGUAUUGUGUUGUAACAAUAUUUUGCUUUUCUGUCCUGCACUUCUAGUUUUAUGUGAUAGAAUACGCAGCCUGUGAUGCCACGCUAAACGAAAUCGUUACAUUAGAGAGGUUACGACCUGUGAACCCCAACAAAGCCGCGUCAAAGAUCGCCUUUCUCAAAAUCAGACUAGAUGUUCCUGAAGACUUGCGACAGAUGUGUGCGAAAGACUCCGCACAUAAAGACUUCAAAAAAGCGAUUGGAGCAUUUAACGUCACUUAUGACUCGGAAGAAAAGCAGUUGGUUAUUUUGUCUGUUAAUGAGGUUACAGCAAAGCGAAUAGGCAUGUUGAGUGACAUGCACUUCAGGAGUCUGCGCACAAAGCUGACGCUGAUACAGAGGAAUGAGGAAGCAACCCGACAGC